ACUGAACGCUGGCGGCAGGCCUAACACAUGCAAGUCGAGCGAGCGGCGGACGGGUGAGUAAUGUAUGGGGAUCUGCCCGAUCGAGGGGGAUAACUAAUGGAAACGGUGGAUAAUACCGCAUACUAUCGGUUGAACACAUAUGGGAUUAGCUAGUAGGUGGGGUAAAGGCUCAACUAGGCUACGAUCUCUAGCUGGUCUGAGAGGAUGAUCAGCCACACUGGGACUGAGACACGGCCCAGACUCCUACGGGCGGCAGCAGUGGGGAAUAUUGCACAAUGGGCGAAAGCCUGAUACAGCCAUGCCGCGUGUAUGAAGAAGGCCUUAGGGUUGUAAAGUACUUUCAGCGGGGAGGCGUUACCCGCAGAAUAAGCACCGGCUAACUCCGUGCCAGCAGCCGCGGUAAGUC
rnacentral:rRNA from 1 species